rnacentral:rRNA from 1 species
GCCUACGGGGCGCAGCAGUGGGGAAUAUUGCACAAUGGGGGAAACCCUGAUGCAGCGACGCCGCGUGAAGGACGAAGUAUUUCGGUACGUAAACUUCUAUCAGCAGGGAAGAAAAUGACGGUACCUGACCAAGAAGCCCCGGCUAACUACGUGCCAGCAGCCGCGGUAAUACGUAGGGGGCAAGCGUUAUCCGGAUUUACUGGGUGUAAAGGGAGCGCAGGCGGCCUGCCAAGUCUGGUGUGAAAACCCGGGGCCCAACCCCGGGCCUGCAUUGGAAACUGGCGGGCUGG